CGGCCACAUUAAGUUAAAACACCGGUUCCCGUGCGAGCAGCGAAGUUAAGCAACCUCUACUGCUUAGUACGUAGAUGGGUGACCCUUUGUGAAUACUGGUUGCUGU